rnacentral:lncRNA from 1 species
UGGAAGUCGGUCCAGGAGCUUUUUGGAUAAUCCACCUCAUGACUGGAAAACAACGAAGAAACCCAGUAGCUUCUUCGCCGUGUGGAUUCAGACCCCGGGAGCCCAGGCCUGCACCUGGGCAGCUGCUCCCUGCACGUGGCCGGACAUAUGGAAUAUGGAGCCCCGCUGCCUUGGAGUCAGAGAGCUGCCAAGUAGAAUUUGCAUGGCCUCUGUCGUCAAGCCCUUCAGCUUCUAGUGCUCACUCUUUCAUGAGGAGAUGAAAUUGAGAUGGACUUGCCUUGCUCUUGGUGCAGAGCUGUGAUUACAGAGUUGAUGAGAAAGCUGUUCCAACUGUGCAUGGAGAUGCAUUCCGUGGUCAAUCUGCACAUGGCUGUCAGGAACUAGCUGGAGUCAGCAGGAGAGAGAGCAAUGCCUUGUUCAUCCAUCCAGGUGGGGCUCCGAGAGCUUCCAAACCAAUGGAUAAGAAGGAGGAGCCACAGAGGCUAGAAAAGACUGCCGACCACAGUUUGUCCCAUGUAGAACUUUCUGGAACAUUCAGCUGCAGAAAGUGAAUGGGCUCAAAGCUUUCUGUCUCCUUCUGAACAGGCUGUCUAUAAAAACAAAGGAAGCCUGGCUGCCUGGGAGACAGUUCUUGAUGGUUUCAAGACAAGCUGCAGUGUCUCUCUUGGCUGCAGGAUGGGAUGGUUGCCAUGAGUGAGGAGCACAGUUCACCUAAGGCUGCCCUUGUCAGGAGCGGGGAAAGGUGAGGAUGAAAAAUCUCUUAUGAGAGCCCAAAUCCACGUGUGUGCAUAGCUCAUGGAGAGCAUAACAUCUCAAUCAAAUUGUUUGCCGACAACAUUUAUUUCAGCUAAAUGAUACUUCAGAGAGGCCAUCCUUCUUCAUAUUCUCUGAAUCAAUCCAUUAACACAGCAUAAGGCAUCCAGGAAAUAAUGGCUGCAAACAAGCCUGGGAGCCAGAAAGAACGGCUUUGGUGGGUGUACUGGUGUGGAGGGAGCCAAGACCAGUAAGAAGCCUAAGGUCACAGAGUCUGCACCAGGAUCUCGGUGGUGGGAGUAACAGAGAAGAGCUGGGUCUAAAAGAUGUCAAGGAAUGAAAGUCCAUGGGAUUUAAGCAUGUGACCUCACAUGAGUUACUUAACUGCUCUUUUUUUUUCCCAUUUGUAAAGUGGGAUGUGGGAGGCAGAAUAAUGUCCCCCCACAUAGGUCCAUGUCCUUAUCCACAGAAACUGUGAAUACGUUAGGUUACCCAGUAAAGUGUUGGAUAAAGGAACCGUUUACCUAAGUGACUUUGGAAGUAGGAACAUGUGACCCAGUUGCAGCCAAUGAGAUGUCAGGAGAAGUUGGCU